CAGAACUAUUCGAAAAAAGGCCGUGAAAUUGCAGAAAUAAAAAUGACAAAAUAAACACCAAAAUUCUAAAAAUAAAAUGGAAGUUUAGGACGACUUUUUAACCAAAUGGGUGUUUUUUAAAAAAUUAUUUACCUAAAAGGUGUACUUUUAAACAUAUUUACCAAACAAGGAUAUUUUGAAAUAAAUUCGCUACCCUGCUCCAGAACACGCGUUUACAUCAUGAUUCCUCCGGUGGCCUCCAUCUCCGGUCGGAUGCCGCCCUCUUCGGCCACACCAAACGUCGGCACUUAAUCCAUGUCAUUGAUUGCUGUCCUCCGACGCUUCCACCACGACCGCUCACCUCCGGCGCCUCCUCAGCCGCUACCAUCUCUAUCGAGAUUCAAAGAUUAGAUCUGGAUCCGAUAGCACAACAAAACCCUCAGAAAGAAAACUUCAAAGAUUAGAGAUUUCAUAUCUUAAUUCUGUUAAAGAAAGAGAGAGUUCUAAACUGUACUUUGUUAAAAGAUCGAUUAAAAGUUGUCUCCCAGUGUGUGUAUAGCUCAGUAAGUUUUUCAAGUAUCAAUUAGUCAAAUCGGUAAUCCGAUCUAAGAAGGUUGUAAUUAUGUUGGAAGACAAUGAAAUAAGAGCAAGAGAAGCGAGAUUACCGCGGGUAUAGACCGUAAUCCCAUAUUCCGGCGGAACCACGUGUCUAGUUGAUUUUCUUUCUUGUGUUACGUGUAUGUGAUUGAUCUAAUUGUAAAUAUUCAAAUUGAAGCUAAAACUAUUAUUAAUAGUUUUUGAUA